UGGAAAAGAGAAACAUCGACCCAACAAGUAAAAUCUAUUCUUGAAUUAAGAACAAAGUGAAGGAAGAAAAGAGAUUCAUUAUUCUUGAAUUGAGAAUUAUUCGUGAAUUAUGGACAACGUCAAGAACUUACAAUGUAGACUUCUGCAAAGCAGAAAAAUUGUACUGUUUUGGAUGAUGAAAAGGGAAAAGAACUCUCAUGAUAUGAAUUGGUGCUAUGUACUUGAAAAAGUCACAACUAAUAACCUGCUUAAUCUUGUUUAACUAGAAACUUCCUAGCAACAAGAAACCCAUCCUAGGAUUAUCCUUAGAUUUUGUCUUCUUUCUUCUAGUUGCUAUGGGGAAUCAGUCAAGUAGAAAAAAUUAAAUACACAUAUAUGCAACUGCUUUUGUUAAGAAGUCCUGGAUCCAGUAUAGAUAAGGGUCUGCCUAAUCAGUAAUCGUCUAAGAAGAAUGUCUGCAGCUCUGCAUUCCCUCAUCCAAACUGAAUACUAGAGCAGUCACAAGCACAAAGUACAACACCCCCAAUAUAAACAGAGAUCUAGCUUUAGAUAAGCUCUUUUUCUUCAAGAAACAUUCACCAUGAGAAGUUCAUUUAACAUUUAGAACAUCAUUUUGAUUUUGUGUUAUUACCAAAUACUAAUAUCUAAGAUUGGUCACUAAAUGUAAUGGAAGAAAGCUGCAACAAAUAGGAUCAGAUAAUUGAAGGAACAGAGCUUGAAAUGGUUGUUCAUGAUCAAAUCUAUAUAACUUUAAGAAGUGUUUGAGAUGAUAAGAUCGUUUACCAGU
rnacentral:lncRNA from 1 species